CCUCGGAAAAUAUUCUCCGAGCCUGCAAAAAUUCAUAUCCUCAUUGAAAUUCUUCUCUGUUGGAAUUAUAUAAUAUAAUGCCGCCUUACAUGUUUCAGAAGUCAUUUCCUGGAGGCUGAAAAGCUAAACUGAACAGUAAACAUCAAGUCAGGGCAAGAUCUUGCGAGUAGACCUCACAGCUUUCAAACAAGCAUCAGAAAUAGUUUAAGAGAGCUCAUUUAUGGCCCCCCGCCCUGUUGUGUCCCAAAACGGGUCCAUUCUUACACGGAGAAACGGGAGAGCGGUCCGGUCCCUGAAUGAAAAGCAGCUGUCAGGAGUUUCGGACAAGCCACCAUGAUCUGGAGGCUUACAACAGGAAGAUCAUAAACCACAUUCUGUCAGUACCAUCCAUCCAUCCAUC